UGCAGUCGAGCGGACAGAAGGGAGCUUGCUCCCGGAUGUUAGCGGCGGACGGGUGAGUAACACGUGGGUAACCUGCCUGUAAGACUGGGAUAACUCCGGGAAACCGGAGCUAAUACCGGAUAGUUCCUUGAACCGCAUGGUUCAAGGAUGAAAGACGGUUUCGGCUGUCACUUACAGAUGGACCCGCGGCGCAUUAGCUAGUUGGUGAGGUAACGGCUCACCAAGGCGACGAUGCGUAGCCGACCUGAGAGGGUGAUCGGCCACACUGGGACUGAGACACGGCCCAGACUCCUACGGGAGGCAGCAGUAGGGAAUCUUCCGCAAUGGACGAAAGUCUGACGGAGCAACGCCGCGUGAGUGAUGAAGGUUUUCGGAUCGUAAAGCUCUGUUGUUAGGGAAGAACAAGUACGAGAGUAACUGCUCGUACCUUGACGGUACCUAACCAGAAAGCCACGGCUAACUACGUGCCAGCAGCCGCGGUAAUACGUAGGUGGCAAGCGUUGUCCGGAAUUAUUGGGCGUAAAGGGCUCGCAGGCGGUUUCUUAAGUCUGAUGUGAAAGCCCCCGGCUCAACCGGGGAGGGUCAUUGGAAACUGGGAAACUUGAGUGCAGAAGAGGAGAGUGGAAUUCCACGUGUAGCGGUGAAAUGCGUAGAGAUGUGGAGGAACACCAGUGGCGAAGGCGACUCUCUGGUCUGUAACUGACGCUGAGGAGCGAA
rnacentral:rRNA from 1 species